rnacentral:rRNA from 1 species
CAGCCGCCGCGGUAAUACAGAGGGUGCGAGCGUUAAUCGGAUUUACUGGGCGUAAAGCGUGCGUAGGCGGUGGUUUAAGUCCGUUGUGAAAGCCCUGGGCUCAACCUGGGAAUUGCAGUGGAUACUGGGUCACUAGAGUGUGGUAGAGGAUAGUGGAAUUUCCGGUGUAGCAGUGAAAUGCGUAGAGAUCGGAAGGAACAUCUGUGGCGAAGGCGACUAUCUGGGCCAACACUGACACUGAGGCACGAAAGCGUGGGGAGCAAACAGGAUUAGAUACCCCUGUAGUCCCUGUCUCUUAUAC